GAUAAACGCUGACAGAAUGCUUAACACAUGCAAGUCGAUGAUGGGAGCUAGCUUGCUAGAAGAAGUCAUGGCGGACGGGUGAGUAACGUGUAAAGAACUUACCAUAUAGACUGGGAUAACAGAGGGAAACUUCUGAUAAUACUGGAUAAGUUAGUAGUAGCAUUACUAAGUAAUGAAAGGUAGCAAUACGCUAUAUGAGAGCUUUGCAUCCUAUUAGCUAGUUGGUGGGGUAAAAGCCUACCAAGGCGAUGAUAGGUAGCCGGCCUGAGAGGGUGGACAGCCACAAGGGGACUGAGAUACGGCCCUUACUCCUACGGGAGGCAGCAGUGGGGAAUAUUGGACAAUGGAGGCAACUCUGAUCCAGCAAUUCUGUGUGUGUGAAGAAGGUUUUAGGACUGUAAAACACUUUUAGUAGGGAAGAAAGAGAUGACGGUACCUACAGAAGAAGCGACGGCUAAAUACGUG
rnacentral:rRNA from 1 species